CCUACGGGUGGCAGCAGUGAGGAAUAUUGGUCAAUGGGCGGAAGCCUGAACCAGCCAAGUCGCGUGAGGGAAUAAGGCCCUACGGGUCGUAAACCUCUUUUGCCGGGGAGCAAGGGCGGGGACGUGUCCCGGCCCGGAGAGUACCCGGAGAAAAAGCAUCGGCUAACUCCGUGCCAGCAGCCGCGGUAAUACGGAGGAUGCGAGCGUUAUCCGGAUUUAUUGGGUUUAAAGGGUGCGUAGGCGGGCUUUUAAGUCAGCGGUAAAAAUUCGGGGCUCAACCCCGUCCGGCCGUUGAAACUGGGGGCCUUGAGUGGGCGAGAAGUACGCGGAAUGCGCGGUGUAGCGGUGAAAUGCAUAGAUAUCGCGCAGAACUCCGAUUGCGAAGGCAGCGUACCGGCGCCAGACUGACGCUGAGGCACGAAAGCGUGGGGAUCGAACAGGAUUAGAUACCCGGGUAGUC
rnacentral:rRNA from 1 species